CAUUUUGAGGGUUUGAUCCUAGCUCAGGGUGAACGCUGGCGGUGUGCCUAACACAUGCAAGUCGUGCGACGAACUCAGGGAAUUUUGCGCAAGCGGAAUUUCCUGGGGGAAAGCGGCGGAUGGGUGCGUAACACCUGGGUAACCUACCUUCAGGACCAGGAUAACCCGCCGAAAGGUGGGCUAAUACUGGAUAAUC
rnacentral:rRNA from 1 species